rnacentral:misc_RNA from 1 species
GGUUUAGUCAUCAAACCAAACACCUGAGCAGGAGAAAAUGAUUACAAAAGAAUAAAGAACUCAAAUUUAAUGAAAAUGAACUGGCAAGCAACUGCACAUUCACAUGUGCACACAAAUAAAAAUUUGUAUGGCUGAUCAUCUUUUUUUUUUUUAUAAUCCAAAAUAUGUAAUGCUAUGUUUGGAUACUAAAAUUUGAAAUGAAGGGAUUUGCUUUUGAUUUUAAUAUAAAUUAUUGA